AUGGAAUAGGCCAAUGAUGCAGCAAGAAAAUUGAAGGUUAGACUACAGGCAGGACUUCCUAGAGAUCAGAUUUAUUCCACUGGCUGCGCACUCCCAUUCCAGGCCCACUGUUUAUCCCCCAUCUUCCCUGCCCUCUCAGCCUCUGCCUUCAUACCUGUCCCUGCACUUUCCUAAGCCUGAGAUGAUGGGAAAUUUCCUACUUUUCCCAGAUCCUCCCACCUCCCUGCCAUCAUAACCCCCAUCUCCCCCACUGUGUCUGGGUAUCAUUCCCUAGGGUCAGAGUUGGGAGAGGAGUGGCACAACCAGAUGCUUAGGGCCUCUCUCUGACCUUUCAGAGGGAGGAGGUUCUUGAUGGGGCCAAAUUAGAGGUGCUGAGACCAGCUCCAGGCAUCGGGGUGCUAGGGAGGACUGUUCUGGGGCUGGAGUGGGGACCAUUGGGCAUGAGCAGCCAGUGCCCACUGGCUGCUGGGAAGACUGUUUGCCAUGCAUCCGAGCUGUGCCAGGGCCUGGGCCCGGCCCCCUUCUGGUGCCCUCCCUCCCUUUUCUCUGGGCUGGAGCUGGAGCGGCUCACAGACCUGGCUCCCAUCUCUCUGACAGGUGGCCCAGAAACCCAUAUAGUUGGAGUCACUUUGGGGCCAACACCCUGGACCACCUUUCACCUCUGUCUGACAGUCGGAGAGUGAGGGAAGAGGGCCUAAGGCCAAUGAGGACCUAACUGCUCUGGAACAUGGAGGGCAACCUACCCUUGACCCCAAAAAUGGGAGUCACUGACCAGUGAGGCCAAGAGGGUAGCCCCAUGCAGUUCUCAGAGAGCUCUGUCUCUUCAGUCUCGGGCCUCAGCCUCCCAGGUACAGCUAGGAGCCCUGAGGAAACUCAGACUUCCCCACAUCUGGUACCAGCCUCGGAACCCAGGGGUCCAGGGUUCUGUGGCCUUCUCUAUCCCACACACCACUCAUCUCCACUUCGUCUUCUCUUCCUCCAGAGCAGCCCACACCUCUCUGUCUCUAACCCUGAGAGCUCAGCAGUCAUGCGGUCCCUUCCCUUGACGCCACAACAUCCCCCUCUCUGUUUCAGCUCCAGCGUCUGUAUCUCUGCCCUUGUUUUGAAUUUCUUGAGGUGUUCAGGAAACUUUCCUCUUGUCACAUCAUUUCUGUCUGACCCUGGAUGUCCAACUCCCUCACAGUCUUCAUAGACCCAACCCAGAGAGUUAAGACCAGGUCUCUCUCUCUCUCUCUCUCUCUCUCUCUCUCUGUGUGUAGGCAUGCACGUGUGUACACACAUCUAACAACACCAUCACCUCCAUGCUGAAUGCCCAUCAGCCGGAAGCCAAGGUCUGUCCCAUAGGAACUGAGCUCCAGCACUCAGCAGGGUCAGCAGGGAGGCACAAGAGGCCAGAGCUUUGGCCAUAGCAGGAGGGAAGCUCUCUGCUACCCCCUUAACGGCUUCAUGAGGAGAAACAUGAGCCUACACUAUAUAAGCAGGGCCUUAGGGCCUGUAGGAGUAAUUGCAAUCAUCAUAUAAAUAGUCCUUUUUAUUGGAAGCACAACUAAUAAUACUAUUAGCAAUGUCACCAGCCGAGCUGUUGCAGAUCCCUCUCGUAUAGAAUCUGAAAUGUGGAUGAUGCUGUUAUAAAUAGCAAAGUUAGCCAUAGCAACAUAGGCACUGGUAAUACUGUGGGUGGGUCUAUGGGUAACACUGUUCCCUGAUCUUACUGCUGUCAUCUGCAAUCUAAGUAAUGCAGAUAAUAAUGGUGCCCCUCGAACUUGAUGCCAAUCUCUUGGUCCUAUUAGAACCAUGCAGGCAGAGCUAUUCUAAUAGGUGGGGGAAUACCUGACAGCAUAUGGAAAUACCUGGGAGAGGGAAUUCCCAGGCCCCUGGCAGUGCUAGGAAGGAAUGCAAUAGUGGUAACGGAAUUCCAGCUAAUAGUUACUGAUGUCUACCUGAGCCAGUUCUCCUAAAUGCUUCCUGUGGAUAACCCCAACUGUGAGAAAAAGAUUGUUUAUGUUUUGCUCAUUACACCGAUGAGGAACCCGAGGUUCAGAGAAGUCAACUAACUACCCCAAGGUCACAGAGCAAGGAGCCGAGUUGGGAUUCCAGCCGAAAUGGGCAUCCCGACCACCCCCUAGAGCGGCUCUGAUCAGCUGUCCUGCCGGACUACAGUAAGGUGUCCCCAGAAGGGUUGCUGGCCGCUGCUCCUGGAGCUGCCUGUGCGUGGGACACGGAGGAAGGGACUGAUCCGGAACGCUACCGCCCUGCCUGGGACAAGGUCGGAAAUCUCGGAGGCCGCGCUGGGACAGGAGCGCGCAGCAGGGAAGACGCGAGGACCCGAGGGGUUGCUGAUCAGACUGCGAGCGGCAGGGGGGCUGCCACUGGCAGAGCUGGAAGCAUGUAGAUCAGAGAUGGCAGCAGCAGCUGCAGGCGCUCGGGGCUGUCCGGCAGCCUACUCCGCUGCGGUGUCAGGAGUCGACGAGUUGGGUACCCCAGAGCCUCGAGGCAAGGGCUGACAGGCGCAGGGAGCAGACCAGGCAGGCACCCCCUUCUCCCUGUCCCCGAUCCCAGGGCGGGCGGCGGGGCUGCGGAGACACUCACCUACCCAGGGCUGGGGUUGGGUCGCGGCACUGCGAAGUUUGUCGCCUCCUCCGGGGGUCUCCUCCGGGUGCACGCUCAGUCCUGCAGCUGCAGCUGAGACUGCGGCGGGGACUGCGCGAGCGCGAGGAGAGGCUGGGGCCGCAGGACUUUCGGAAGAGGGCGCCGGCCCUCCCGGCGCCGCACAAAACCCCCUUUCUUCCCCCCGCCCCUGCCCCGCCCUCCCCGGGGCCGCCCCCGCCCCGGUCGGGAGCGCGGGGGGCUCGGGACGGUCACGGGACCCGCUGUCUUCUCUGCGUCGGCUCCCGGCAGCAGCGGCGAGAGCAAGGACGAGCGAAGUAGGACAUCGUUCAGCGGAUGAGAAGCCGAGGGCUUGGAGUAGGGAGGGGGGGCAGGAGGGGCGGGGAGGGAGCUUUCGCCCAGCGUUCGCUGAGCUAAAGGAUGACGAUGUUACAGCUGGAGGGGUGGAAGUUGGACAACUGGAGGGACUUCUCAUUGUUCAAAGAAGAAGGAGGAGGGAUGCAAUUAGACUGUAAGAAGUGGAUGAAGGGAGAAUGGGGGCUUUGCUCCUGAAAAGAGACACCCUCUCUAAUAAAAAAAAAAAAAGGAAAGCUC
rnacentral:antisense_RNA from 1 species